rnacentral:misc_RNA from 1 species
GUGAAUCAUCAAAUUUUUGAACGCAAAUUGCACUUUCUGGUAUUCCGGAGAGUAUGCCUGUUUGAGGGUCAGUUAAAUUAAAAUCGGUAUGGUUGCGGCCCGUAUUUGGUUGUGAUGCAGCGGGAUUGAGUCGUUCUUUACCUUUGGGUUGAGUUAGUUAGAAUUAUGUUGUAUUGUUGAACUUAUUUGAAUUAUUUCGUACAUUCGUAAGAUU